rnacentral:piRNA from 1 species
UCAAAUGGUCAAGGUGUACCCCAGGCAAUC